rnacentral:rRNA from 1 species
CAGCCGCCGCGGUAAUACGAAGGGUGCAAGCGUUACUCGGAAUUACUGGGCGUAAAGCGUGCGUAGGUGGUGGUUUAAGUCCGUUGUGAAAGCCCUGGGCUCAACCUGGGAAUUGCAGUGGAUACUGGGUCACUAGAGUGUGGUAGAGGAUAGUGGAAUUUCCGGUGUAGCAGUGAAAUGCGUAGAGAUCGGAAGGAACAUCUGUGGCGAAGGCGACUAUCUGGGCCAACACUGACACUGAGGUGCGAAAGCGUGGGGAGCAAACAGGAUUAGAUACCCGAGUAGUCCCUGUCUCUUAUAC